AUGAACGCUGGCGGCGUGCCUAAUACAUGCAAGUCGAACGAGGUGCUUUUGUAGCAAUACGAGAGUAUCCUAGUGGCGAACGGGUGAGUAACGCGUUGGUGACCUACCCCAAAGUGUGGGAUAACAGUCCGAAAGGACUGCUAAUACCGCAUGUGGUUAUUGGAUUUAGAAACCGGUAACUAAAGGAGCAAUUCGCUUUGGGAGGGACCUGCGUCCCAUCAGCUAGUUGGUGAGGUAAUGGCUCACCAAGGCGACGACGGGUAGGGGACCUGAGAGGGUGGCCCCCCACAAUGGAACUGAAACACGGUCCAUACACCUACGGGUGGCAGCAGUAGGGAAUAUUGCACAAUGGGCGAAAGCCUGAUGCAGCAACGCCGCGUGUGUGAUGAAGGCCUUCGGGUCGUAAAGCACUUUUCUGGGAGAUGAGAAAGGACAGUAUCCCAGGAAUAAGUCUCGGCUAACUACGUGCCAGCAGCCGCGGUAAAACGUAGGAGGCGAGCGUUAUCCGGAUUCACUGGGCGUAAAGCGCGUGCAGGUGGCGCGGUAAGUUGGGUGUGAAAUCUCCCGGCUCAACUGGGAGAGGUCAUUCAAUACUACCGUGCUUGAGAGCAGAAGAGGAAGAUGGAAUUCCCGGUGUAGUGGUGAAAUGCGUAGAUAUCGGGAGGAACACCAGUGGCGAAGGCGAUCUUCUGGUCUGUUUCUGACACUCAGACGCGACAGCUAGGGUAGUAAACGGGAUUAGAGACCCCGGUAAUCCUAGCCGUAAACGAUGUGAACUUGGCGUUGGUGGGUUAAACUCCAUCAGUGCCGUAGCAAACGCGAUAAGUUCACCGCCUGGGGACUACGGCCGCAAGGUUUAAAACUCAAAGGAAUUGACGGGGGCCCGCACAAGCAGCGGAGCGUGUGGUUUUAAUUCGAUGCUACACGAAGAACCUUACCCAGGCUUGACAUACAGGUGGUAGGGAUCCGAAAAGGUGACCGACCCGCAAGGGAGCCUGAAACAGGUGUUGCAUGGCUGUCGUCAGCUCGUGUCGUGAGAUGUUCGGUUAAGUCCGCUAACGAGCGCAACCCUCGCUGCGUGUUACAAGUGUCACGCAGGACCGCCGGUAUUAAGCCGGAGGAAGGUGGGGAUGACGUCAAGUCAGCAUGGCCUUUAUGCCUGGGGCUACACACACGCUACAAUGGGCAGUACAAUGGGUUGCUAAGCCGCGAGGUGGAGCCAAUCCCCCAAAACUGUCCUCAGUUCAGAUUGCAGGCUGCAACUCGCCUGCAUGAAGCCGGAGUUGCUAGUAAAACGCGCGUCAGCUAUAGUGCGUUGAAUACGUUCUCGGGCCUUGUACACACCGCCCGUCACGUCAUGGGAGCUGGUAACACCUGAAGCCGGUAGCCUAACCGCAAGGAGGGCGCCGUCGAAGGUGGGGCUGGUGACUGGGACG
rnacentral:rRNA from 1 species